GAUGAACGCUGGCGGCGUGCCUAAUACAUGCAAGUCGAGCGAAUGGAUUAAGAGCUUGCUCUUAUGAAGUUAGCGGCGGACGGGUGAGUAACACGUGGGUAACCUGCCCAUAAGACUGGGAUAACUCCGGGAAACCGGGGCUAAUACCGGAUAAUAUUUUGAACUGCAUGGUUCAAAAUUGAAAGGCGGCUUCGGCUGUCACUUAUGGAUGGACCCGCGUCGCAUUAGCGAGUUGGUGAGGUAACGGCUCACCAAGGCAACGAUGCGUAGCCGAACUGGGAGGGUGAUCGGCCACACUGGGACUGGGACACGGCCCAGACUCCUACGGGAGGCAGCAGUAGGGAAUCUUCCGCAAUGGACGAAAGUCUGACGGAGCAACGCCGCGUGAGUGAUGAAGGCUUUCGGGUCGUAAAACUCUGUUGUUAGGGAAGAACAAGUGCUAGUUGAAUAAGCUGGCACCUUGACGGUACCUAACCAGAAAGCCACGGCUAACUACGUGCCAGCCGCCGCGGUAA
rnacentral:rRNA from 1 species